rnacentral:rRNA from 1 species
CAGUCGCCGCGGGAAUACGGAGGGUGCAAGCGUUAAUCGGAAUUACUGGGCGUAAAGCGCACGCAGGCGGUCUGUCAAGUCGGAUGUGAAAUCCCUGAGCUUAACUUAGGAAUUGCAUUCGAUACUGGGAAGCUAGAGUAUGGGAGAGGAUGGUAGAAUUCCAGGUGUAGCGGUGAAAUGCGUAGAGAUCUGGAGGAAUACCGAUGGCGAAGGCAGCCAUCUGGCCUAAUACUGACGCUGAGGUACGAAAGCAUGGGGAGCAAACAGGAUUAGAUACCCCGGUAGUCCCUGUCUCUUAUAC